UACGAAGGGGGCUAGCGUUGCUCGGAAUCACUGGGCGUAAAGCGCACGUAGGCGGCUUUCUAAGUCAGGGGUGAAAUCCUGGAGCUCAACUCCAGAACUGCCUUUGAUACUGGAGAGCUUGAGUCCGGGAGAGGUGAGUGGAACUCCGAGUGUAGAGGUGAAAUUCGUAGAUAUUCGGAAGAACACCAGUGGCGAAGGCGGACUCACUGGCCCGGUACGUGGACGCUGACGUGUGC
rnacentral:rRNA from 1 species